rnacentral:rRNA from 1 species
UUCCUGUACCACCGAAAGCCGUUAUGAGCAAUGGGGUGACGCAGGAGGGUAGUGACGCGGACUGAUGGAUGUCCGUCCAAGCAGUGAGGCUUGCAUGUAGGUAAAUCCGCAUGCUCCAAGGCCAGGCUGUGAUGGGGAGCGAAAAUUACAGUAGCGAAGGUCAUGAUCUCACACUGCCAAGAAAAGCCUCUAGCCAGGAAGCAGGUGCCCGUACCGCAAACCGACACAGGUGGGCGAGAAGAGAAUUCUAAGGCGCGCGGAAGAACUCUCGUUAAGGAACUCGGCAAAAUGACCCCGUAACUUCGGGAGAAGGGGUGCCCCGGUAGUGUGAAUAGCACGAGGGGGCCGCAGUGAAAAGGCCCAAGCGACUGUUUAGCAAAAACACAGGUCUGUGCGAAGCCGCAAGGCGAAGUAUACGGGCUGACGCCUGCCCGGUGCUGGAAGGUUAAGGGGAGUGGUUAGCGCAAGCGAAGCUAUGAACCGAAGCCCCAGUAAACGGCGGCCGUAACUAUAACGGUCCUAAGGUAGCGAAAUUCCUUGUCAGGUAAAUUCUGACCCGCACGAAUGGCGUAACGAUUUGGGCGCUGUCUCAACGAGAGAUCCGGUGAAAUUUUAAUACCUGUGAAGAUGCAGGUUACCCGCGACAAGACGGAAAGACCCCAUGGAGCUUUACUGCAGCUUGAUAUUGAACUGGGGUGCGAUUUGUACAGGAUAGGUGGGAGCCUACGAAGAGGGAGCGCAAGCUUCCUUGGAGGCGCCGUUGGGAUACCACCCUGAUCGCAUCUGAGUUCUAACCUGGUACCGUAAUCCGGUACAGGGACCGUGUCAGGUGGGCAGUUUGACUGGGGCGGUCGCCUCCUAAAAUGUAACGGAGGCGCCCUAAGGUUCCCUCAGAAUGGUUGGAAAUCAUUCGAAGAGUGUAAAGGCAUAAGGGAGCUUGACUGCGAGACCUACAAGUCGAGCAGGGACGAAAGUCGGGCUUAGUGAUCCGGUGGUACCGCAUGGAAGGGCCAUCGCUCAACGGAUAAAAGCUACCCUGGGGAUAACAGGCUUAUCUCCCCCAAGAGUCCACAUCGACGGGGAGGUUUGGCACCUCGAUGUCGGCUCAUCGCAUCCUGGGGCUGAAGUAGGUCCCAAGGGUUGGGCUGUUCGCCCAUUAAAGCGGUACGCGAGCUGGGUUCAGAACGUCGUGAGACAGUUCGGUCCCUAUCUGUCGUGGGCGUAGGAAAUUUGAGAGGAGCUGUCCUUAGUACGAGAGGACCGGGAUGGACGCACCGCUGGUGUACCAGUUGUUCCGCCAGGAGCAUCGCUGGGUAGCUACGUGCGGAAGGGAUAAGCGCUGAAAGCAUCUAAGCGUGAAGCCCCCCUCAAGAUGAGAUUUCCCAGUAUGUAAGACCCCUUGAAGACGACGAGGUAGAUAGGUUGGGGGUGGAAGUGCAGCAAUGCAUGGAGCUGACCAAUACUAAUCGGUCGAGGGCUUAUCCAA